rnacentral:ncRNA from 1 species
UACCUGGUUGAUCCUGCCAGUAGUCAUAUGCUUGUCUCAAAGAUUAAGCCAUGCAAGUCUAAGUACGAGCUCUCGUACAGUGAAACUGCGAAUGGCUCAUUAAAUCAGUUAUGGUUCAUUUGAUCGUACAGUUUACUUGGAUAACUGUGGUAAUUCUAGAGCUAAUACAUGCGAGAAGCGCCGACCUCGCGGGAGGCGUGCAUUUAUCAGACCAAAAACCGGCCGCGUCUUCGGGCGCGUUCGCCUUGGUGACUCUGGAUAACUUUGCGGAUCGCACGGUCUAGCACCGGCGACGGAUCAUUCAAGUGUCUGCCCUAUCAACUUUCGUCGGUACGGUAUUUGCCUACCGAGGUUCUUACGGGUGACGGGGAAUCAGGGUUCGAUUCCGGAGAGGGAGCCUGAGAAACGGCUACCACAUCCAAGGAAGGCAGCAGGCGCGCAAAUUACCCAUUCCCGACGCGGGGAGGUAGUGACGAUUAAUAACAAUGCAGGACUCGUUCGAGGCCCCUGUAUUGGAAUGAGUA